AAAGGAUUUUUUAAAAUGACUUUUUGUAUGGGAAGAAAAGUUAGUUUAAUUUUAAGACCAUGUGUAGUGGUUAACACCCCACCCUUGGGCGUUUUACGCAAUGUGGCAGCCCAGUCAGCAAUGGUGCAUUAUGUGGCGUUCUCUAAAAUGGUUGUAGUGGGGAUGUGGUCAUUGUGGAGCCUAUUGUUUGUAAUAAAAUUAAAUAAAAAAAUCUGCUCGGUUUUACAAAAAGGAAGAUGAAGGCGAUUGGACACAAGAAAUGAAGCUGGGCGUGGAAAAUAAAACGCCUAAACCAAAUUUUGCCAAGAAAACACCCCGGGGGGCCGAUGUCGGGUGUGGUUGGGCAUUAUUGGGCAAAAGAACGCCCACUUUUUUGACUAGUACGCAUGGUCUAAGAUAGGGUAUUGUGACUUUUUGAGCUGCUUAUAACUUUUCAAAAACAAAAUUACCAAAUUAACCAUGUGCCCUACACAACAUAUGAUCGCUGCCUGCUGCUGUUUCUUUUCUCCACAGCCGCACAUCACUCCAACGAGUUCUCCACAGUGACGAGUUCUCUACAGACAUCGCUUUCACGUUGCACAUCACUCCAGCGGCUCCAGUUCCGUUAAUUAUGAACUUAGUGGUAGACUGUUAUUAUAUACCGGAUUUUAGACGUGCACAAACUAGUGUUAUGCGUGCUCUUCGCGGAGCAAAAGAGACAUUUAACUAUUACUGCUCGUCAUUGCGAAAUAUCAUUGAACGGACUUUUGGAGUGUGGAAAGCUAGGCAGGCGUUAUUGAGAGAUAUGCAUGUUAACUUCACGUACGACCACCAAGUGAGUAUUGUGAUAGCAUCGAUGGUGAUCCAUUACUUUAUUAGAAAGGUCGGUGGGUUUGAUAAAGCAUUUGAUAGGGCACAACAAGAAUCGUACAGUCCCAGAGGAGGUGGUACUAGUGAUAAGUUCACGAAGAAGUUCAGGCUACACGUUGAUGAUGAUAUGCAUAUGGCAGCGAUUCGAGAUAUCAUCGAGGAAGAUAUAAUGACAUUGCGGAGAUGAACAUGACAUCAUUUCAAUUGUAUGGAUUAAUGUAUUAUAAGAACUAUGGUGGUAUUAUUGUGUAUUUUGGUGUUUUUUUUUUAUAAAAGACAUAUAUUUUUUUAUUC